UACGGGGGGGCAAGCGUUGUUCGGAAUUACUGGGCGUAAAGGGCUCGUAGGCGGCCAACUAAGUCAGACGUGAAAUCCCUCGGCUUAACCGGGGAACUGCGUCUGAUACUGGAUGGCUAGAGGUUGGGAGAGGGAUGCGGAAUUCCAGGUGUAGCGGUGAAAUGCGUAGAUAUCGGGAGGAACACCUGAGGCGAAGGCGGCUACUGGGCCGAUACUGACGCUGAUGUGCGAAAGCGUGGGGAGCGAACAGG
rnacentral:rRNA from 1 species